GGAUGCAAGGGCAAUUCAGCCUGCAAACCUGCCACCCAUUGAUUUCCAGGGUCCACUUGGCCCAUCUGGCUGACCAGGAAGGUGUCUCCUUCCUCUCUCAGGGGCCAUGUGUAUACUUUCCCAAGUUGUGAGUUCUGUGGAAGAGGAGGACAUUCCUCGAUAGAGGAGGACCAUUCUCCAGUGAAGGAUAUAUGGGCUGCUGUGCAUCUACCCCGCCACUACAGGUAUCAACCAGCUCUCAAGUUUCAUAAAAUGUGGGUAAUAAUAAUCACCUUACUAGUUAGCUCUAUGAAUUAAAUGUGUUCACACAU
rnacentral:snRNA from 1 species